UACGGAGGGUGCGAGCGUUGUCCGGAAUCAUUGGGCGUAAAGGGCGCGUAGGUGGCCCCUCAAGCGGGCGGUGAAAGUCGGGGGCUCAACCCCCGAUCGGCCGUGCGAACUGGGGGGCUGGAGCACUGUAGAGGCAGGCGGAAUUCCACGUGUAGCGGUGAAAUGCGUAGAGAUGUGGAAGAACACCUGUGGCGAAAGCGGUUUUCUAGCUUAUACCUGACGCUGAGGCUGCGAAAGCAAGGGGAGCAAACAGG
rnacentral:rRNA from 1 species